rnacentral:rRNA from 1 species
UACGGGGGGGGCAAGCGUUGUUCGGAAUUACUGGGCGUAAAGGGCUCGUAGGCGGCCAACUAAGUCAGACGUGAAAUCCCUCGGCUUAACCGGGGAACUGCGUCUGAUACUGGAUGGCUUGAGUUUGGGAGAGGGAUGCGGAAUUCCAGGUGUAGCGGUGAAAUGCGUAGAUAUCAGGAGGAACACCGGUGGCGAAGGCGGAUCUCUGGGCCUGUCCUGACGCUCAGGCGCGAAAGCUAGGGGAGCAAACAGG